rnacentral:rRNA from 1 species
UACAGAGGGGGCGAGCGUUGUUCGGAAUUACUGGGCGUAAAGGGCGCGUAGGCGGCCUUCUAAGUCGAACGUGAAAUCCCCGGGCUCAACCCGGGAACUGCGUCCGAUACUGGGAGGCUUGAAUCCGGGAGAGGGAUGUGGAAUUCCAGGUGUAGCGGUGAAAUGCGUAGAUAUCUGGAGGAACACCGGUGGCGAAGGCGGCAUCCUGGACCGGUAUUGACGCUGAGGCGCGAAAGCCAGGGAGCAAACGGG